UACGUAGGGUGCAAGCGUUAUCCGGAAUUAUUGGGCGUAAAGAGCUCGUAGGCGGUUUGUCGCGUCUGCUGUGAAAACUGGAGACUCAACCUCCAGCCUGCAGUGGGUACGGGCAGACUAGAGUGCGGUAGGGGGAGAUUGGAAUUCCUGGUGUAGCGGUGGAAUGCGCAGAUAUCAGGAGGAACACCGAUGGCGAAGGCAGAUCUCUGGGCCGUAACUGACGCUGAGGAGCGAAAGCAUGGGGAGCGAACAGG
rnacentral:rRNA from 1 species